rnacentral:rRNA from 1 species
UACGGAGGGUGCAAACGUUGCUCGGAAUCAUUGGGCGUAAAGCGCACGUAGGUGGUCAAGUAAGUCGGGUGUGAAAGCCCUGGGCUUAACCCAGGAAGUGCAAACGAAACUACUUGACUUGAGUACUGAAGAGGGUCGCGGAAUUCCCGGUGUAGAGGUGAAAUUCGUAGAUAUCGGGAGGAACACCAGUGGCGAAGGCGGCGACCUGGGCAGAUACUGACACUGAGGUGCGAAAGCGUGGGGAGCAAACAGG